ACCUGCGGAGGGAUCAUUACACAAAAAAAAAAGUAUGAGGGCGUGUGGUGCUGGCAACAGCGUCCCCCCGCCCAAGUAUCUUUUUUCACCCAUGUCUUUUGCGCACUUUUUGUUUCCUGGGCGAGUUCGCUCGCCACCAGGACCCAACCAUAAACCUUUUUUUAAAAGCAGUUGCAAUCAGCGUCAGUACAAUAAUUCAAUUUAUUAAAACUUUCAACAACGGAUCUCUUGGUUCUGGCAUCGAUGAAGAACGCAGCGAAAUGCGAUACGUAGUGUGAAUUGCAGAAUUCAGUGAAUCAUCGAAUCUUUGAACGCACAUUGCGCCCUUUGGUAUUCCAAAGGGCAUGCCUGUUCGAGCGUCAUUUGUACCCUCAAGCUUUGCUUGGUGUUGGGCGUCUUUUGUCUCUCCCUCUCUCUGGGGGAGACUCGCCUUAAAACGAUUGGCAGCCGACCUACUGGUUUUCGGAGCGCAGCACAAAUUUGCGCAUUCCAAGCCACAGGGCGGCAUCCAGCAAGCCUUUGUUGUCUACAACAAAUCCACAUUUUGACCUCGAUCAGUAGGGAAC
rnacentral:sRNA from 1 species